AGGCAGCAGUGAGGAAUAUUGGUCAAUGGAGGCAACUCUGAACCAGCCAUGCCGCGUGUAGGAAGAAUGCCCUAUGGGUUGUAAACUACUUUUAUUGGGGAAGAAACCCUUCUACGUGUAGAAGGCUGACGGUACCCAAGGAAUAAGGACCGGCUAACUCCGUGCCAGCAGCCGCGGUAAUACGGAGGGUCCAAGCGUUAUCCGGAAUCAUUGGGUUUAAAGGGUGCGCAGGCGGUAAAGUAAGUCAGUGGUGAAAUCUCUCGGCUCAACCGAGAAACUGCCAUUGAUACUGCUAUACUUGAAUAUAGUUGAAGUAGGCGGAAUGUGACAUGUAGCGGUGAAAUGCUUAGAUAUGUCACAGAACACCGAUAGCGAAGGCAGCUUACUAAACUAAAAUUGACGCUCAUGCACGAAAGCGUGGGGAGCGAACAGGAUUAGAUACCCUGGUAG
rnacentral:rRNA from 1 species